rnacentral:tRNA from 1 species
CGGGCCGGCGUAUGAUGGUGGUACGCCUGUUUUGGGAACAGGUAGACCGAGUUCAAUUCUCGGCGGCCCGA